rnacentral:lncRNA from 10 species
AAGGAAUAAAUGAAUUAAUCUGGAAGUUAACAUCUCCAUAGAAAUAACCAGCAUGAAGACAUUAAAAUUCCUAUAGGUUUACCAUUCCCUAUAUUUAAAAAUGGUUGGAGGCUGGUCCCAGUGCCUUGGUAUUUACAACUCAUUGAUCACUACCAGUUACAGACUUUUUUUCUUCCUUCUUCACCCCCAUUGCUUGACUAGCCUUAAAAAAUAAUAAUUAUUAAAAAAAAAGCAUGGCUGCAGAAGUCUUUUGGUUCUUUGGUUGCCAAAAUAAAUAAAAGUGUUUGGAAUGAAACAUAAAUUUGUAUUGUGAUAUAUUUGUAGAUUUGAGUACUUAUAUGGUUUUUCCAGAAUCUUUUGUCCAGUCUCUUGAUCAUGCUGCAUUUUAAGCACACCUGCCUCACUGGAGGGAAAGGAAAAGAACUUUAAUCUUCAAUUUGAAGAAAAAUUGAGAAUUUUUUGAGUCCAGCAUCUUAAAGAUGGAGAACAGAGAACAGGCAGGAAGUGUGAUCUCUCGAAAGCCACUUUUCUUCUGGGCUUAGUGAGCACUCACUAGAACCCUGUUAGAGAAGUGUGUACUUCAUAGAGAGGAGCUGGGAGUAAAAGGUGGAAUGAUUCUGAUUCCUAUUAAACACCUAUCAUGCUCCAGGCACUGCCCAACAGAAUCCAUCCAGCUCAUCUCUCCUAAUCUUGAAGCUUGGAAAUAAGGCUAAACAGCCAAUGAGUUGCGAAGUGAGCAUUUGAAUCCAAGUGCCCUAACUCCAAAGCUCUACUCAAGACAUCACCCGACCCACCCUUGCUGAGGCCCCAGACUAUCCUAAGUCCAACCCUGCAAUCAUAACAUCAACCUCACAUCGUGAUGCUAAGUGUGUGGGGAGGGAGGUGGUGGCUGUUUGCAAGAGUGGCCACAGUACCACUGUGUAAUGAGUGGGGUCAUUCCCCUCCACAUCCCUGUGUGCUAGGAUGCAUUUACCUUUUUAUCAGAAAUUGCAGUGGUGGAAAACAUAUAAUUUGGGAAAUAAGAUUAUGAGGAUCUAAGGCCCAGCUCUGCUACUUACACAACUCUGAAGUUCUAAAUACUCAUUUAAAAAAAAAAAAUCUGUUAUAUGGGAAUAAAACAUCUACUUCAACAACUUUCAAGGAAUAAGUGAGAGUUAACGUGAGAAAGCCUGAGGAAAACAGGCUGAGGCACCAGCACUACUUUCCACCCCUCUGUCCUCAGGCUCAAGUUGAGGCUUACAUACCAGGAAGAGAGAUUCUCAGGGGCAGUCCAUCCACGGUGGCGCUUCAUUACUCCCCAGUGACACCCAACUCACCUUUUAAGGGUAGGACAUCAGCACCUCAAAAGAGAUGUCCUUGCCAUCUGAGAAUAUAGCAACAAUGGGCAGAUGGCAAGCCCUUUGGAAGUGGUCUUUUGGAAGCUCAAAAGACUAUGCAGUCCUAUAGGCAAAGGUGGGAAUGUUUUCUUCUGGGGCUGGGGAAAUUGUUGGCUUUGGAGAGUCAAUCAGAAGGCAGGAAUGUUCCCUUACUCUGUCACCUUUAAAUAUAGGGAGAUAAAUCUCCAAGUAAAGGGUUUAUUUGGGAAUAUAAGAAUUGGAAUUGUAAUUCUGGGCACACAAACCAGUGUAGCCUCUAGUUGUGUUCAAAGAACAAAGAGAAAGGCUGGGGUUUUAUUGGGGAAGAGAGGAAGGUGAUCUAAAUGGUUUUGAAUGAAAGUUCACUGGAGCCAGGCGCGUCUUGUAGGAUCUAGCAAGUUCUGAUUGGUGAGUGGCAGCAGCUAGGUAACUUUAUCUUAAGGUUAGAGUUAGGUCUUCGUGAUUUUUCUGUUGAACUGCAAAAAUGGUUCCUGGAACAGGGACCUGGGUGCCUUUCCCCAUGGCCUCCCGACUCCAUUUUAGUUGGGUAUGAUAUGAGUGACUCCAAUUUGUAGAAUGAACUUUCACACUUUUGUUGUUGUUACAGAGACAGGGUCAUGCUCUAUCGCCUACGCUGGAGUACAGUGGCCGCAAUCAUAGCUUACUGCAGCUUCAACCUCAUGGGCUCUAGCCGUCUUCCUUCCUCAGCCUCCCAAGUAGUGGGGAUUACAGGUGCACUCACCACACCCAGCUCACACUUUUAAAAUAGAACAUUUAGAUAGAUGAUUAUUUACCAUUUUAGGAAACUUUUGUUCAGGAAUGAAUUUCAUCCUUGCUUGAUUAUCCUUGUAGAAGGAAACAUAGCACGAUUUUUGCUUCAUAAGCAUUUUAUUUUCAGCACGCCACAG